rnacentral:misc_RNA from 1 species
UUUCCGUAGGUGAACCUGCGGAAGGAUCAUUAUUGUAUAACCGAGGUGCGAGGGCUGUCGCUGACCCGACGGGACGUGCACGCCCGAGUGCCCUGACACACAUCCAUCUCACCCCUAUGUGGAACACCGCGUGGGUCCCCGUCUGGCGUGUUGGGGGGGGGGCUUACGUUUUCACACAAACUUUGUAUGCAGUGUAGAAUGUAUUUUUUGUUUUUGCGAUCACGCAAUCAAUACAACUUUCAACAAUGGAUCUCUUGGCUCUC